UACGUAGGGUGCGAGCGUUAAUCGGAAUUACUGGGCGUAAAGCGUGCGUAGGCGGUUGUGUAAGACAGAUGUGAAAUCCCCGGGCUUAACCUGGGAAUGGCAUUUGGGACUGCAAGGCUGGAGUGUGGCAGAGGAGACUGGAAUUCCUGGUGUAGCAGUGAAAUGCGUAGAUAUCAGGAGGAAUACCGAUGGCGAAGGCAGGUCUCUGGGCUGACACUGACGCUCAUGCACGAAAGCGUGGGGAGCAAACAGG
rnacentral:rRNA from 1 species